rnacentral:tRNA from 1 species
CCGGUAUUGAUGUAAUUGGUAGCAUAAGUGCCUUCCAAGCAUUUUGUAUCAGUUCAAAUCUGGUAUACCGGUCCA